rnacentral:rRNA from 1 species
UACAUGCAGUCGAACGCUUCUUUCCUCCCGAGUGCUUGCACUCAAUUGGAAAGAGGAGUGGCGGACGGGUGAGUAACACGUGGGUAACCUACCCAUCAGAGGGGGAUAACACUUGGAAACAGGUGCUAAUACCGCAUAACAGUUUAUGCCGCAUGGCAUAAGAGUGAAAGGCGCUUUCGGGUGUCGCUGAUGGAUGGACCCGCGGUGCAUUAGCUAGUUGGUGAGGUAACGGCUCACCAAGGCCACGAUGCAUAGCCGACCUGAGAGGGUGAUCGGCCACACUGGGACUGAGACACGGCCCAGACUCCUACGGGAGGCAGCAGUAGGGAAUCUUCGGCAAUGGACGAAAGUCUGACCGAGCAACGCCGCGUGAGUGAAGAAGGUUUUCGGAUCGUAAAACUCUGUUGUUAGAGAAGAACAAGGACGUUAGUAACUGAACGUCCCCUGACGGUAUCUAACCAGAAAGCCACGGCUAACUACGUGCCAGCAGCCGCGGUAAUACGUAGGUGGCAAGCGUUGUCCGGAUUUAUUGGGCGUAAAGCGAGCGCAGGCGGUUUCUUAAGUCUGAUGUGAAAGCCCCCGGCUCAACCGGGGAGGGUCAUUGGAAACUGGGAGACUUGAGUGCAGAAGAGGAGAGUGGAAUUCCAUGUGUAGCGGUGAAAUGCGUAGAUAUAUGGAGGAACACCAGUGGCGAAGGCGGCUCUCUGGUCUGUAACUGACGCUGAGGCUCGAAAGCGUGAGGAGCAAACAGGAUUAGAUACCCUGGUAGUCCACGCCGUAGACGAUGAGUGCUAAGUGUUGGAGGGUUUCCGCCCUUCAGUGCUGCAGCAAACGCAUUAAGCACUCCGCCUGGGG